AACGUAGGAGACAAACGUUAUCCGGAGUUACUGGGCGUAAAGGGCGUGUAGGCGGUUUGUUAAGUCUGGCGUGAAAGCUCUCGGCUAAACCGGGAGAGGUCGUUGGAUACUGGCAAACUAGAGGACGGUAGAGGCGUGUGGAAUUCCGGGUGUAGUGGUGAAAUGCCUAGAGAUCCGGAGGAACACCAGUGGCGAAGGCGACACGCUGGGCCGUACCUGACGCUAAAGCGCGACAGCAUGGGGAGCAAACGGG
rnacentral:rRNA from 1 species